UGAUAGCUGUGAAGCGUGAGGUUGCUGCCUGGAAAUGGCAGGUUUUCCGUGGAGCGAAUGUCAAGUUAUGAAACUGGCGACAA
rfam:Lachnoclostridium sp. An131 An131_contig_1, whole genome shotgun sequence.